rnacentral:rRNA from 1 species
GGUAGUAACACGUGGGUGAUCUGCCCUGCACUUCGGGAUAAGCCUGGGAAACUGGGUCUAAUACCGGAUAGGAGCCAUUUUUAGUGUGAUGGUUGGAAAGUUUUUUCGGUGUAGGAUGAGCUCGCGGCCUAUCAGCUUGUUGGUGGGGUAAUGGCCUACCAAGGCGGCGACGGGUAGCCGGCCUGAGAGGGUGGACGGCCACAUUGGGACUGAGAUACGGCCCAG